rnacentral:rRNA from 1 species
GCCGUUACCAACGGCGAGCUGAAGCGGCAAAAGCUCAAAUUUGAAAUCUGGUACCUUCGGUGCCCGAGUUGUAAUUUGGAGAGGGCAACUUUGGGGCCGUUCCUUGUCUAUGUUCCUUGGAACAGGACGUCAUAGAGGGUGAGAAUCCCGUGUGGCGAGGAGUGCGGUUCUUUGUAAAGUGCCUUCGAAGAGUCGAGUUGUUUGGGAAUGCAGCUCUAAGUGGGUGGUAAAUUCCAUCUAAAGCUAAAUAUUGGCGAGAGACCGAUAGCGAACAAGUACAGUGAUGGAAAGAUGAAAAGAACUUUGAAAAGAGAGUGAAAAAGUACGUGAAAUUGUUGAAAGGGAAGGGCAUUUGAUCAGACAUGGUGUUUUGUGCCCUCUGCUCCUUGUGGGUAGGGGAAUCUCGCAUUUCACUGGGCCAGCAUCAGUUUUGGUGGCAGGAUAAAUCCAUAGGAAUGUAGCUUGCCUCGGUAAGUAUUAUAGCCUGUGGGAAUACUGCCAGCUGGGACUGAGGACUGCGACGUAAGUCAAGGAUGCUGGCAUAAUGGUUAUUGCCGCCCGCUG